GUGGGGACCAUUUCUUGGUCAAAAAUCCGCACGUGUUAGCCUUCGGUAUUAUUGAAAAUGGUCGUUCAUGGCUAUUUUCGUCAAAAAUGGGGGUUGUGUGGCCAUUGAUCAUUGACUAGAGGCUUGUUCACCUCACCCCACAUAUGUUUCCUUGCCAUAGAUCACAUUCUUGGAUUUCUGGUGCAGACCAUUUCUUGGUCAAAAAUCCGUAGGUGUUAGCCUUUACUAUUAUUGAAAAUGGUCGUUCAUGGCUAUUUUCGACAAAAAUGGGUGUUGUGUGGCCAUUGAUCAUUGACCAGAGGCUCAUUCACCUCACCCCACAUACAUUUCCUUGCCAUAGAUCACAUUCUAGGAUCUUUGGUGGAGACAUUUCUUGGUAAAAAUCCAUAGGUGUUAGCCUUUAGUAUUAUUGAAAAUGGUCGUUCAUACUAUUUUCGACAAAAUGGGGGUUGUGUGACCUUUGAUCGUCAACUAGAGGCUCGUACACCUCACCCCACAUAUGUUUCCUUACCAUAUAUCACAUUCUUGAAUUUCUGGUGGAGAUCAUUUCUUGGUCAAAAAUCUGUAGGUGUUAGCCUUCGGUAUUGUUGAAAAUGGUCAUUCAUGGCUAUUUUCGACAAAACGGGGGUUGUGUGGCCAUUGAUCAUCGACCAGAGGCUCGUACACCUCACCCCACAUAUGUUUCCUUGCCAUAGAUCUCAUUCUUGGAUUUCUGGUGGAGACUAUUUCUUGGUCAAAAAUUCGUAGCCGUUAACCUUCGGUAUUAUUGAAAAUGGUCGUUCAUCCUAGUAUCGACAAAAAUGGGAGUUGUGUAGCCAUUGACCAUCGAAAAUGGGGGCUUGUACACCUCAACCCACAUAUGUUUCUAUGCCAUAGAUCAGAUUCUUGGAUUUUUGGUGGAGACCAUUUCUUGGUCAAAAAUCCGUAGGUGUUAGCUUUCGGUAUUAUUGAAA
rnacentral:lncRNA from 1 species